GAGGUACUCCCUCCGUUCGGAAUUACUUGUCGCAGAAAUGGAUGUAUCUAGAUGUAUUUUAGUUCUAGAUACAUCCAUAUCCAAGACAAGUAAUUCCGAACGGAGGGAGUACAUG
rfam:Triticum urartu cultivar G1812 contig67477, whole genome shotgun sequence.